rnacentral:tRNA from 1 species
GCCUCGGUAGCUCAGCCUGGUAGAGAAAAAUUGCCAUAAGCGAGCGCCUUGUAAGCGCUAGGUCGCGGGAUCAAGGCCCGCCCGAGGCU